UGUCACUCAGUGCCGUUCAUAAUAACACGGAGUUGCGAGACGAGAAGUGAUAAACGUACAGAAUUACUCGGUGGCAGCCAAUCAUUCAAGCAAAUUUAGCUACUCCUGAAAGACUGUCAAUAUUAUUACUCUGAAAUGGAAGAAAACCAAGACAACGAGGACAAUGGGCCAAGGGUGGAGGAUGAUCUAGUUGACGAUGUGGGAGGUGUUGCCAAGCAGCCAGCCACACAUCUAAUGGAGGUGGAUUUGUCAACUGCUCAGGUCCAUGAAACCAUGAAAAAAGAUGAUGCCGACGUGCAGCUUCAGUCUAGCUACCUGUGUACGUUACCAGGAUUUCUGAGAAUCUUACAAGUGGUAGGUGGCAUUUCUGACAGAAAGAGUUGGAAUUCGCAAGACCACCAGGCACUGCUAUCACUUUAUAUUGGUGAACAGUGCGAAGAGGUCUGGAUCUGCGCCUGCGUCUAGGUGUCCGUAUUUGGACUCUCAUACCUUUCAACAAUACAAUACAACAAUUAUUUAAGGGGGUGCAACUGCACCGUUUGCACCCCCUCUACAUCCACCCCAGGGAGGAAUCCAUGGCUAGACGAACAGAGGGAAGUCACCAUCUCCAGCCUCUGCUUGUCACAUGUUACAGCGGUGCUCACACAGAGGGUUGAUUUCCCUCUGUGUGAGCACCGCAAAGUUACAACAUCCAUGUCAUGUACUCAUCCCACAAUGCAGAAAGGACAAAAAGUUUAUAAACAACGAUUUCUUGAUGAAAUAACGCAAUAAUCAUCGCUGUCAAGAAUUUAAAAACUUGGCCUAGCAAAACACCCUGUGAAUGAACUGUUCGUACAGCUAGCACAGUCCCAAUAGCUUUUGGCAUGGAGAUAAUAUCUGUUAAUUAAAACGACACACCAGUAAAAUGUUAGAUAAAGUUAAAGUUACGCCUUCCAUUGUUUAAUAAAGUGCAUUAUUGCCUUAUGAAUCCUAAAAAUCGAUUGUAAUCAAUCUGAAUUGAAAAAGGAACUCGAUGUUUAAUUUGGAGUUUGGUAUGUUAUUCAUAUCAGUCUACAUGUAAAUUACAAAUGCAUUGCUUCACUCAUUCCUCAAAAAUGUUGCUAAUUAUGGAGGAAAUUUGCAGAUGAAAUUUAAAUUUGUUAGAUUUUUUAGAUUUGACUCUAACCAUGAGGGUUUCUUAUUUGUUUUAAUAAAUAUAUUUAAUUAAAAAUUUAUCGGUUUAUACAAAUCUUGUUCCUGUCAGCAAGCUGUCACGCACUCUGAAACUUUCGGGCGAUCUGACGUCAUCACACCUAAGCACAUGGGACAUUUGCCCAGCCACAUAACCCCACGAAAACAAUUUACCAAUUAGCAGGCAAAGUUUAGGAGGCGCGACUCGUCCCGAUGUUUACAACAAGCAUAGUUGCCAGAGUUAGCAGAAUUCUGCUUCUUAGCAGAAUUUUGACCGUUUUAGCAUUAUUUAGCAUUAUUCUUAGCAGAAUUCUGAUGAUAUUAUCCAUAUGAUUUUUUUUCCUUUCUCCUGUAAAAAUAAACCAUCGGGAAUCCCAACUUUCCUCCAACUAGGGAGCUAUGUACACAAAUCUAUGGUUAAAAUCUCUGGGGAAUCCCAAGAUUUUACAUUUUUUGCUAAUUGCACCAAAAAUUGAUGGUUUUGAAGAAAAUAAUACACAAGGCUGUUAGAGCUCAUAAAGCUCUAUUAAUAACACCAAUUAGGAAUUUUACAAUUUUUCAUGGUUUACCAAAACUAUACUUUGGCUUUAUAACUGAUAUUUUUUAUGACCUUUCAAAAAUAAACAGAAGGCUAUAUGAAUCAAGCCUUAUCCAAUGUUCUUGCCAGAGUCUAGUCUUUGAUGCCUCACAAAUAGGCUUCAAAUGUUGUAUCUAUAAAUUAUAUAUUGAUAUCGUAUUUUGUGUGUAUAGUUAUGUUUAAAUACUGUAGUCAUAAUUCAAUUUGUGUGUGAAGAAAGUAUUAUUCAGAGUGAGAUUGAGAGGAAGAGAUGUGUCAAAACAUUUGUUACCUAUUUCAAACAGUGAUAAAUUGUGAGCAAAAUUAUUCAUGUCAUUAGAUUUUUAUAAUUCAAACAAAAUGCUAUAGACUAAAAUAUCUUAAAUAAGAUAAAACAGUUUAUAGUUAAUAGUUUAGUCCUAUUAUAUGAAUUGUAUUUGUUUGUGACAAGAAAAUGUGUACUUGGCAACCAAACUUAUCAUCCAAAAAAUCUGUAAGAAAUACUUUACAUGGUCCCAAAAUGUGUCAGAGCGUGGAUCUAUUUUUAAUGCCCAUUGUCUCUUUUAGAAUAGAUUGGAGCCAUGGCGUGGUGUGAUUUUCUUAUAAAAUCCUAAUAUAAAUUUUUUUAUCUGAUUUUCAAAAUUAUUUAAAAAUUUAAAUUUUUUUUUUAAUUAAAUAAUUUUUAAAAUUUAAUUUGAUUUAUUAUUAUUUUUUUUUUUUUUGGCUUCUUCAGUCGUCAAUUGUUACCUACCCAAGAGUGCUCUGUACGUACAGUACAAACAGAUUCCUGUAUUUAUAUUUCACGGCAUAAUUUCAUACUGAGACAACAGAACGAUUUUGCUGUAUCUGUCAGUGUUACUUCAUCGGUGAUGGGCAGCAUUUAUUAGAUAGCAUGUCACAAAUAUGUUAUUUGGGCCUUCCGAAGUUGGCAAGAUAGUGGCUAGUGAAAGGGAUUGAGGACCAGUAAAAAUAUUAAUUUACUGGUCCACUUGGCUAGUUAAAAUAAACCUUUAGGGAAACCCCUGCAAUAGUUUAUGUC